GACGAACGCUGGCGGCGUGCUUAACACAUGCAAGUCGAGCGAGAAACCCUCUUCGGAGGGGAGUACAGCGGCGAACGGGUGAGUAACACGUGGGCAACCUGCCCCAAGGAGCGGGACAACCCGGGGAAACCCGGGCUAAUACCGCAUGAUCCGCGAUGCCUCAAGGCAUCCCGGGAACAGGUAGCUUCGGCCUCCGCCUGGGGAUGGGCCCGCGGCGCGUUAGCUCGUUGGUGAGGUAAUGGCUCACCAAGGCGACGGUGGGUAACUGGUCUGAGAGGGCGAUGAGGCACACUGGGGAUGAGACACGGCCCAGAGUCCUACGGGAGGCUGCAGGGGGGAAUCUGGCGCAAUGGGCGGAAGCCUGACGCAGCAACGCCGCGUGAGGGAAGAAGGCCCGCGGGUUGUAAACCCGUUUCGGGAGGGAAGAAGCGAAAGUGACGGUACCUGCAGAAGAAGCCCCGGCUAACUACGUGCCAGCCGCCGCCGUAAGAC
rnacentral:rRNA from 1 species